rnacentral:lncRNA from 1 species
GCCGGGGCUGUGUCACCAGCACCUGGGACAAGGUCUCCGAACGAGGACCCUGAAGAGAAGGCUAUGCAGGGGGACGGGCCGCUGCCUGGCUCAGGGCUUCCCUCUGGUUUCUUCACGGUCCACAGAUGCUACCCGGAGCCUUUCUCGAAAGCGCUGACUCAGUGUCUCAGGUGCGCGCCCGAGGAGUGGCAAACCCGGCCUGGCUCAGAAAGGGGGCAGGAGCCUCGUGAGAAUCUUCCAUGAGCAUCUUCCGAGGGGAUUCCUGUCCUGUCUUCUCUGUGUGAACGCCAGUGUGCACCCAGAAGCUCAAAAGGAACAGUGGAUGUGCAGUGUGUAGUUUUAUUUGUUUUUAUUUCCAUAACACAAGAGAGGAAGCGAAGGGCCAGGGCCCGAGGCAUCCCCUGCACGGUUCGAAGGCUUUCAACCGUCCCGG